rnacentral:rRNA from 1 species
GACGAACGCUGGCGGCGUGCCUAACACAUGCAAGUCGAGCGAUGAAGUUUCCUUCGGGAAACGGAUUAGCGGCGGACGGGUGAGUAACACGUGGGUAACCUGCCUUGUAGAGGGGAAUAGCCUUCCGAAAGGAAGAUUAAUACCGCAUAAUAUUGUACUUUCGCAUGAAAGAACAAUUAAAGGAGCAAUCCGCUACAAGAUGGACCCGCGGCGCAUUAGCUAGUUGGUAAGGUAAUGGCUUACCAAGGCGACGAUGCGUAGCCGACCUGAGAGGGUGAUCGGCCACAUUGGGACUGAGACACGGCCCAGACUCCUACGGGAGGCAGCAGUGGGGAAUAUUGCACAAUGGGGGAAACCCUGAUGCAGCAACGCCGCGUGAGUGAUGACGGUCUUCGGAUUGUAAAGCUCUGUCUUUGGGGACGAUAAUGACGGUACCCAAGAGA